GCGCAGCAGGCGCGAAAACUUCACACUGUGCGAAAGCACGAUGAGGGAAUCCCAAGUGCUUGCACGUAAGUGUAAGCUGUUUCUCUGUCUAAAACGCAGAGAGAGUAAGGGCUGGGUAAGACGGGUGCCAGCCGCCGCGGUAAUACCUGCAGCUCAAGUGGUGACCGUUAUUAUUGGGCCUAAAACGUCCGUAGCCGGUUUAAUAAAUGCCUGGGUAAAUUGUGUAGCUUAACUAUACGAAUUCCGGGUAGACUGUUAAACUUGAGACCGGGAGAAGUUAGAGGUACUCCUGGGGUAGAGGUGAAAUUCUGUAAUCCUAGGGGGACCACCAGUGGCGAAGGCGUCUAACUAGAACGGGUCUGACGGUGAGGGACGAAGCCCUGGGGCGC
rnacentral:rRNA from 1 species